GAUGAACGCUGGCGGCGUGCCUAAUACAUGCAAGUCGAGCGAACAGACGAGGAGCUUGCUCCUUUGACGUUAGCGGCGGACGGGUGAGUAACACGUGGAUAACCUACCUAUAAGACUGGGAUAACUUCGGGAAACCGGAGCUAAUACCGGAUAACAUGUUGAACCGCAUGGUUCAACAGUGAAAGACGGUCUUGCUGUCACUUAUAGAUGGAUCCGCGCCGCAUUAGCUAGUUGGUAAGGUAACGGCUUACCAAGGCAACGAUGCGUAGCCGACCUGAGAGGGUGAUCGGCCACACUGGAACUGAGACACGGUCCAGACUCCUACGGGAGGCAGCAGUAGGGAAUCUUCCGCAAUGGGCGAAAGCCUGACGGAGCAACGCCGCGUGAGUGAAGAAGGUCUUCGGAUCGUAAAACUCUGUUAUUAGGGAAGAACAAAUGUGUAAGUAACUAUGCACGUCUUGACGGUACCGAAUCAGAAAGCCACGGCUAACUACGU
rnacentral:rRNA from 1 species